rnacentral:lncRNA from 1 species
GGCGAGGCUUCUAGAACGCUUGCAUAAAGAGUCUGAGUCCAGAGCAGGAAGUUCACACAGAGAUUUUCAUAUUUGCUGCUAGUCCUUAAAUUCUUCCUGUUAGUGAAAUGCCAGCGAUCUUUUAAAGCUGGGGGAAGGGGGAGGGAAAGCCGCAGAGUGCUUGACCUGAGUGAGAGCCAGGCCACAGCCACACGGAAAAUUACCCCGAGCCGUGUUUACAGGCGACCAGACGGGCAGGGCGUCCCGGACUGUGGACCUGAGGUCAUUAGACCACGUGCUCCCUCCCUGAACAGGGGUACAAGGGCAAAGGCUGGAAGGCCUUUAGAGACACCUCCGUAUCCCCUUAUUUAACAAAUGGGGAAACUGAGGCACACAAUGGAGAGUUGAUGUGCCCUCUCAGUGACCCCCUUACCUUUGCUAACUCAGCUCGGACUCUGGUCUCAGGAUUCUCCCUCCAGAUGCCGGCUCAGCUAUGAAACGGCCCUGAGACCCUGGGCGAGUGACUGAAGGCUGCUCUGAGGCUCGGCUGCUCGUCUGUAACGGGACAGACAGAGGACCUGCCUCGCAGGGCGACUGUGUCAAAGGUCAGCAAAGCCAGCCAUGAGUCAAAGUGGUGAAAACAGAUGGUGCUCAGCCUCUUCUGCCGACAGAGGCAGGAGCGGAGAGCUCAGCCCUGUGCACAGGUGCCGGUGAUUCAGAGGGAGGACGAGGGAGACGCCCGGAUCAAAGGAAAACUCACAGGGGCUUUUGGAUCUCAAGAAACCUGGGGAAAAAGAUAAAGAUGCUUUGGUGUGAUGACGUGUGGCGAGGCCGAUUGAGGAUGGAGAAGCCUGGUCCCCGUGAGUCAUCCGGGGACACGGGCCGCUCUGCAGUGCAGAUGCACAGCUGCACGAGGCAAAAAUAUUCUCUAAUGAGCAUCCAGAGUGUCUGCUCAGAGUGAAUCGUCCUCAGAACAAGUUCAUAACAGGACAUCAUUGGUGAAGCUGUGCAAGCACUUGGUACCUGAUAAAGCUAGCCGGAUCCUUCAGGUGUGACCACCCCCGCCUGCCCCUCCGCAGAGACACUAAGGGAAGGUGUCAUUGACUGUUGGGAGACAGAAGCAGCAAAAUGCUUGACUGGGGGACCAUUAGCAUCACCAUACUCCUUAUUCGCUUUAGUCUAUUUGUAUCAUUUUCUAUCAAGUAAACCACAUGCUGUAGAGACGUUUGGAAGUGUGAUAGUUCCUGCUGCAGUGCGGAGAAGCAGGAACUACAAUUCCCAGAACCCUUUCCCCGUGUGGUCCAGGGUUGAAGUUUGCCAGUGAAGGCACUCUGCGGGAUGUGAAGGUGGAAGAGAUAUCAACGCAUAUUCUUUGGAAGUAGAUGCAGCCAGACUCUGAGUGCAUGUUGCUGCCACAGCAUGGCUUGAUGAGGGUGUAAGUUGGUGCCUGGGAUCCAAACCCAUGACCCUGGGCUGCUGAAGCAGAGUGCACGAAACUUCAGCCACUCAGCCACGGGGCCAGCCCUACAAACAAUCUUUGAAUGGCCAGAGGCCUCCUCUCCACCAGGAGUGAGGUGGUAAGGGCAAGAAGGGAAGAAAUGACACUUGGUUAAGGAGCCACUGCUCAGGCGUGUCCACGGCCACCUCCAGUUCUCUUGGGCAGCCUAACAUCGGUCACAGUGGGCCCGCCUUCCUCCCUCUCUUCUGGGACCAGCCCACCCCAUCCCAGCUUCUCUGCCUGAAGCCAGCGGGUCAGUGAGGACGAGUGAGGACCCCAGACCCAGCUUGCCCACCGGUUUGUUAUGGGCUGCAGACUCUGGGUUCAAGGAGGGAAGUCAAAGGACUUUCCUUUUUACCUAACGUGUUUUAUCAGAAGUUUUGCAAGCUGGGGUUAUUGAAUAGUUUCCAGUCAUUAAUAAAGCUAACGUUUUAUUCUC